rnacentral:miRNA from 1 species
UUCUCUUCUUCGUGUCGCAUUU